rnacentral:rRNA from 1 species
CCUCCGGGAGGGCGCUUACCACUUUGUGAUUCAUGACUGGGGUGAAGUCGUAACAAGGUAACCGUAGGGGAACCUGCGGUUGGAUCACCUCCUUACCU